GCCAUUCUCCCGCCUCAGCCUCCCGAGUAGCUGGGACUACAGGCGCCCGCCAUCACGCCCGGCUGCUUUUUUUGUUUUAGUAGAGAGGAGGUUUCACCGUGUUAGCCAGGAUGGUCUCAAUCUCCUGACCUCGUGAUCCGCCCGCCUCGGCCUCUCAAAGUGCUGGGAUUACACGCGUGAGCCACCGCGCCUGGCCUGAAGAAAGUUAAGUGAAGACAGAACAAGAAAACAAACCAAGAAUUUCCCCUCACCAGCCACCAGCUCUGCCAGCAACUUGAUCUUAGACUUCCCAGCCUCCGUAACGCCUCUGCUUAUAAUCUGUCAUGGAUUGGAAAACUAGAAAAAACAGUUUACAGAGUAUAACAAACUUUGGAGGAGUUAAUCGACUCUAAGUAAAAGAGUAUCUAGCACGGCUGUGGAACAAAGGAGAGACUCACAAACUGUUGAAAGAAUAAAUGAAUGAAUGAAUUCUGUUCAUGAGCUUUAAUAAAACAGCUCUGAGUAGUAACAGUGGAUCAAAUUUAGGCUUCUUGAUGCAGGCAUGGUGUAGAUUACUACUUCUGUAUUGUCCCAGGAGCUCAGCACAUUCCUGCAGAGAUGAUAGGAGCUCAUCUGAUACUUGUCAGCUUUGAAUAAACUCCAGUCCCCAAGAGAGAGAAUGAGAAUCACCGGAAUACGAAACUUCCCUGUUGGACUUCCCAACAUUCUUGAAUGCACCAAGAUAGCCUCUUGCUGUGAGAUUAAUAAAUGAAUAAAUGCCUCCAUAUUUUUCAAAUCUGUGAAGUUAACAACAUGUAGAUUUUUUUGCAUAUUUAAAAACUGCAACUAAAUCUUAAUGCCUCUGAAGCAGAUGGAAGAAAAUAAUAGGCUUCCAUUAACUGUGUCAAAUUGUAUAGGUCUUGGCCAUCACUGGUCCUGUUGUGAUGAAGGUUUUUUGCCCUUGGAUAUAAUUUAAUUUUCAAUUCUUCUAAUUAUGGUACUUCAGAACAUCAAUAUUUGAGAUGAACUUCUCUAGUGUCAAGGACUGAUUUGAGUUGUGUAAACCCUGAAUAUCUGAGACAGGUCUCGAUUAUUUUAGAAAGUUUAUUUUGCCAAGGUUGAGGAUGUGUGCCUGUGACACGGCCUCGGGAGGUCCUGAGGACAUGUGCUCAAGGUGGUCAGAGCACAGCUUUGCUUUAUACAUUUUAGAGAGACAUGAGACAUCAACCGACAUAUGUAAGAUGAACAUUGGUUCCAUCUGGAAAGGCGAGACAACUUCAAACGAGGAGGGGGCUUCCAGGUCAUAGGUAGAUAAGAGACAAAUGGCUGCAUUCUUUUGAGUUUCUGAUUAGCCUUUCCAAAGGAGGCAAUUAGAGUGAGCAAAAUGAACAAAAUCAAUUAUUUUGAUUCUGAACAAAAUGGGAGGCUGGUUUUCCCUAAGCAGUUCCCAGCUUGACUUUUCCCUUUAGCUGAGGGAUUUGGGGGGCCCAAGAUUUAUUUUUCUUUCACCGUUGUAUCAAACUACACAGGCGGCCUUGGAAACCAUCACAGUUGAGAGUAGGUAACGCCCAUUUGUUGCAUAGUUUUGUGCUCCACACUCUUAUCUACAAAAUUAUGAAUUUUUUUACAUAUAUUAAUUUCAGAAAAACUAAAAAUAAAACAAAGUAGUUUCAAACUAGUAUUGUUUUUAUAUCUUAAAAAUAAAGCUUUAUAUACUCUCCUUA
ensembl:lncRNA novel transcript